rnacentral:misc_RNA from 1 species
AAACUCACCAGCCUUGCUGCGAAACUCUCUUUGGAGAUGUCGGGUCGGUAUUGUUUUUGGUGUUCGAGGAUUUCUUCGAUCCAUUUGUACCGUUUUGCAGAGGCUAAUCGAUGAACUGUAGAUUCGUAAAUGCCGGUUUUUGUGCGGAAUCUUGUGACAUCUGAAUACUGUUUGAAUUUCUCAACGAGUCUUUUGAGGUUCCUCUCUUUGUAUAAGUCGUCGGAGAUUACUCUGAUCGGAGAUACUGAGGCUUCAGCCGUGGAAAAAGUCCG